rnacentral:rRNA from 1 species
GACGAACGCUGGCGGCGUGCUUAACACAUGCAAGUCGAACGGAAAGGCCCUUCGGGGUACUCGAGUGGCGAACGGGUGAGUAACACGUGGGUGAUCUGCCCUGCACUUUGGGAUAAGCCUGGGAAACUGGGUCUAAUACCGAAUAUGAUCAUCGGCUUCAUGGUCGGUGGUGGAAAGCUUUUGCGGUGUGGGAUGGGCCCGCGGCCUAUCAGCUUGUUGGUGGGGUAAUGGCCUACCAAGGCGACGACGGGUAGCCGGCCUGAGAGGGUGACCGGCCACACUGGGACUGAGAUACGGCCCAGACUCCUACGGGAGGCAGCAGUGGGGAAUAUUGCACAAUGGGCGCAAGCCUGAUGCAGCGACGCCGCGUGAGGGAUGACGGCCCUCGGGUUGUAAACCUCUUUCAGCACAGACGAAGCGCAAGUGACGGUAUGUGCAGAAGAAGGACCGGCCAACUACGUG